UGGUGCCAUGUCCGCACCCGGGAUCCAAACCAGCGAACCCUGGGCCUCCGAGAAGUGGAACCUGCAAACUUAACCACUGUGCCACGGGGCAGGCCCGCCAGUCUCUUGAAAACGGGAACAAUGGCCUCAAGGGAGGGAAAACAAAGAUUAUUAGGAACUAAGACCAGAUGUCUGGCCCACCCAGAGACCAGAUGUCUGCCCUCCUGGAGAGCAGCCCCCAUAUAAAUGUCCUGUAGUCUUUGUUCUGGAAGAUGGGCUUUAAGGACACUAGUCCACCGUCUGCCAUCUUUGCUGGCAAAAAUGAAUAAACCCUUUCCAUUCCAUCGACCUGCCUCCUGACUUUUUGGCUAAUCUUGCAUCAAGCAGAACAAGCCCAUUGUUUGGUAACACCUCUAUCCCUCUCCGGUCCUUUGCCUUACUUAUUGCCUCAUAGCACUCAUCCCUUCUGAGAUCAUCUUACUUCCACAUUCAUUCACAUAUAUUUCUGCAUCGCCCUCUGCACUGUAAGGGCCAAUAAGGCAAAGAGAUUUUCUCAUUUCCACUGAGCCUUCUCUCCUGUCUAGCACAUGACAGGUACUCAUUAAGGAUCUGGCACAUUGAGCAAGAAAUGAACAAAUGAAUCCAGUGGGAAGACUCCCUGAGACCUCAGACCUGCCCAAAUAUUAGAGUAAGUCUAUGCUGGGCCUCCCAGCACAGGACCCACACUCCUGUGGGUGCCUCCUUGUGGCCUUCCAUGGGACCCCGCUGCUCCCACUGCCUGAAUGUUCCCUGAGGAAUACAGGUAUUCUCCUAGAAACUGCUCCUCCCUUGUGUGUGGGCUUCAAACCAAAAACUCCACAUUACUGUGGUUCAUGUAGAGGGCAGAGCAAGCCCAAGGUUGUGGGGAAAGUAGGCAGUGUUAAGGACAGAGACAUUGUGGGGUGGCUACUGCCUCCUGUACUGCAGGGUUGAGCAGGAAAGAGUUCAGGAGCUUUUGUGGUAAAGGAAAAGCCACUGGAUCUCAGGGGCCUAGAUUAUUUCCUUGGUUUGGACAGUCCCUAGCAAGAAAGGACUUGCAAGCACUUGAUACUCAGCUCCUCCCUAGGAGCCAUGACUAAUAUUUGCAAGGCAAGGAACUCACAAAGCACAAACCUUCACAGGAACUCCACACUAUCUUCUACUUCAUCCUCCCAAAACCCCCCGCAUGGCAACCCUCUAGUGCAAGGGUUACAUGCAGACAUGAGGAAAGUGAGAUUCAAAUCAGCUCCAAAUUACAAAAUACUGAGAGGGAGUUGUCAGCUCAGGCUCUGAAGCCAGACUGCCUGGUGACUAGGCUCACCUCUGCACUUUCCUAGUUGGGUACCUUUGGUCACAUUAGUUAGACCUGCUCCCUCGAAUUCCUCAACUCUAACAUAAAGUUGUGCAAGUUAAAUGAAUUUAUGUAAAACUCUUAGCACAUGGUAAAAUAAGUUGCUAUUUUUAUCAUCACACUGCUAUUUUUAUCAUCACACAAUUACUGACAUAAUUGGCAUUGAAUCUGGGACAUCCACCCCCCCAAUCCCAUUCAUUUUCCACUCUCUGAAAGCUGUUUUGCCUCUGUUUAAGCUUUUAUUGGCUGGCAGACUGCAUCAAAAUGUUCAGGGUGGGAGGACCUCUUCUGGAGGGAAAUGGUCAUCCCCGCAGGAGGAGGGCCCCAGCGAUUGUGAAUAUGCAUGUGCUUGGGCCAGGUGUGUGCAGGCUGAAGCACAUGAGCACAACUUGCCAGAGGCAGAGCCGAACAUCAGUGGCUACAGAUCAGCCUUGAGUACGGAUCCCAAGAACAGCCCCUGGAGCUGAGGGAAACCAAAGGUACAGGGGGCCAUUUCAGGCUCACUGUGAGUGGGUAAGAAAUGACACAACAUAAUCAGCAAAUGCAAUCCUAAUUAGAACCACGGGGGCCAGGAAGGGGAUCUUUCUGGGAGUAGGCAAAACAUUUUGGAGAUAACCAUGGGGAUAAAUGUGAGAGGAUCAUAAAGCAAUAUUGGAAAUAAACUUGUAAGUGCUUCUCUGCAGUAGUAACAACUGAAACCCAGUGAAUGCGUUCUCUGCCCUGCUCUGAGAAUUCACAUUCACUAAUUCAUGUCACCAUCUGGUACUGCCAUCAUUUAAGAAUGAGCCUCUUUUUAAGUCCAGAGUGUGGCAAUGUUUUUGCCUCACUCCUGGCCAUUGGUGACCUGCAGAACUUUACAAAGACCACUCACUGCUCCAUGUGGGAACUUGGUAGGAUUGUAAUUCUUAGACAAUGCUCUAUAACUGUAGAUUAUUUCAUUGUGACUCUUAUAUGUGCUUCCACGUUAUUCUAUUUGUAGGGUGUAAUGACAGUAUUUUAUGGCUACUAACAAGUCCACUGAAGUAAUCAGAAACACAGAAUUCUCUUUUUUCCAAAAUGAUUUAGAUUUUUUUCUCUUCUGCUUUAAUUGCUAGUAUUUAAGGAAGGACAGUAUUUUGUUUAAUUCUGUUUAACAAGGCCCCAUCACAUGAACACUAAGAAGGAAUUUUACAUGAGCGGACUCAUAACUAGAAAGAUUUGGAACACAAAGUGUAUUUCGGUGUGACAAAGCUAAGUUACUUUAGUUGUAACACUAAUAUGUUUAACAAAAUCAAUUUUUGAUUUAACAAAAAGUAGGUUGUGAAACAUUUUGUAUGGCCAAGCAUCCCUUUCUUCAGUAUGAAACCGUGCCCACAAGGCUAAAGUAAGAAACAAAUUAACCAAAGUUUCUGAGCUUGUCUUGCAGAAUAACAAGGAUACUGCAGAUAAGGAAACAACUUGCUGACGACCUCCUUUGCCCAAACAUCGUGUAGGUACAUUGAGGGACCAGAAUGACUGAUCAGUGAACUUUGGACAUCCCAGGCCAAAGAUCCACCACAUGUAACACACAGACCUCCCCAGAUUUAUACAUGUGACCCACGAAAAGACAUAAAGGACAGUCACGCCUGCUCAGAGGACUCCUGAAGCUUCCUCUUGCCUUUUCCUAGCCCCCAACACCCUCCUACUCCCUACUCCCCAGUAAAUAUCCCACACAAAAGCCGCUCAGGGAGACAGGGUUGAGAGCUUUGCCUCCUGUCUCCUUGCUUGUCUGCCCUGCAAUAAAGUCCUUUCUUUCUGCAAAAGACCUUUGCCUCGGCAUCUGGUUCUUCUGUAGCACAUCAGGAAAACAAACCUGCCUGUGGUCGGUAACAAGUAUUCAUCAUGUACUAAUUUGUAUUAAUGGCUCCAAAAAGAUCUGCCCCUGUGAAUUCUGCCACCCUUCAUCCUCAGAAUAGAGCUCAAGGCUCGGAUUAGCAGCUCAGAGUGGGAGUUUUCCAACAGAGGCAACCCGGUUUCCCACACUUACAAGACAAUGUUCUCCACCACCCCCCCCCCCCCACCAUCACCCUGAUUAACAACUCCCAGACUCAGCCUUUCAAGGAAUAUUUUUCAGUUAAGCUUGGUGUAGAAGAAACAGAGUCAUCAGAAUGUAUAAGGGGGACACUGAACUCAGAUUUAAUCCUAAGGCUACAAGCUUUUCACCCUCUUCAAGCUAAACUCCCUGGGACAAUCCUUAAGACACAGCCUUAAUCUUAACUCUGAAAGAUGCCUCAGGGGGACCAAGUCCACAGGUCAAACCCAGCACUCUUCAGCCAGGCCAGCCCACAGCAAGAAUAUGACUGUAACAAAGAUUUUUCUCAGGACCCUAAUCCCCUUCUCUGUUCUGUGUUCUUCAUCUCCUGUUCCCAUCACAAGACUGGACUUGGGGUUGGAAAGGACCUCAGAGGCCAAGCCGUCAACCUUUGCCCCUCCUGGGUUGCCACCUCCAUCCUCAACCAUUGCCUGGCCAACCCAGUGACAGUUAGAACUGAUGUCCAUGGACAGUUUAGAACUCUGCCUUCCAUUGGGGAAGGCCUUCUUAAUGUUCCAUUAAUAUAUCAAGGUCCUUUUUUUCUCAGAGCCUAGCACUGGCUAUUUCCUCUGCCAAGAAUGCCUUUCCCCAGACAGGUGGGUGGCUGCCUCCUUCCUUAAGAUACCAACUCUGCCCCUGUCUUCUUAAAGUGCCCUUUCCUGACCACAGCAGGCGUACUGCAUCCCUUUCUAUUCCUUCACCCUCUUUAUGGUCUCAUAGAACUCAUUCUCUCUGAAAUCAUUUCAUUUCCAUGUUUGUUGCCUGUGUAUCAUCUGCAUUUCCCUCUGAAUUGUAGAAGGUUGUUAAGAGUUUAUCUUAUUCCCACUGAGCCCUCUCUCUUGUCUAGCACAUGACAGACAUUCAUUAAGGAUUUGGGAAACUGAGCAAGAAAUGAACAAGUGAAUCCAGUGAGAAGACCUCAGACCUCAGACCUGUCUAAACAUCAGAGUAACGCCAUUCUGUGCCUACCAGUGCAAGACUCAACUGUGGGUGCACCUUGGAGCCUUACCUGGGACCCUAUCAUUCCCCACUGCCCAUAUUCCCCUGAGCACCCUUGCUUUGUUAUAAAGACUACUCCACCCUCCUGCAUGCGUGAUGGGCUGGUCCCUUUGAGGUCAACCCCUACCAGGCAGUCCUAUGACUCCACAUUAAUGUGGGUGGUAGAGAUGACUGGGAAUCCCAAGGUUGUGGGAAAAGAGGAAGGAGAUGCUGAGGAAAGAUACAUAGUAGAGUGGCCACUGGACUCUGGAACCACAGGUGAGCAGCAAAGAGCUUGGGUUCUUUUGUGGUAAAGGACAAGCCACUGGACCUCAGGGACUCAGGUCAUUUGACUGGCUUGGGUAGUCCUAGCGAGAAGGCAGGAAAGUGUAAGGAUUAUCAGGUCUUCCCUGGGUGUACUAACUAAUGUUUGUGGGCACCCAACUCACAAAGCACAGAGUGCCAUAUUGCCCCCACACCAUGUUUUUGUUUAUCCCAUUAAACCCCGCUUUGGCUAUUCUCAAGGGAAAGGGAUUGCAUGCAGAGGUGAGGAACUGAGGUUCAAACAAGCUACAAAUCACACAGUAUUCACAGGUGGUUGACAGCUCUAGUCUGUCAACUAGUCUCACCACUGCACCUUCCUGCUUGAGCACUUCGAACAUAGAUGAGGGUUGUUGUGCAGGUUAAAUGAGAGGAAUUUAUGUAAAACUCCUGGCACAUUUAAACCCUCCAUGUAAGCUGCUCUUUUUAUCAUCCCAAACUAAGCUAAUGACAUACCUGGCACUGAAUCUGGGAACUCUACUCCUAAAUCCCGUUCACUUCCCACUCUCUGAAAAACCGUUUGCCUGUGUUUAAACUGUGUUUGCCUUGUAGACUGCUUCACAGUGCUGAGAGUAUGAGGAUCUUUCCUGGAGGGAAAUGGUAAGCAUCAUUCCUUCAGGAGGAGGGAACAGUGAUUGCGAGCAAGCAUUAGCUGGGGCCAGGUACGUGCAAGCUGGAAGCAUAUGAGCACAUCUUUCAGGGACAGAUUCAACCGUCAAUGGGCACAUGGUAGGAGAGGGGUUCCGCAGAAAGCUUUGAGUGCCAGAUGGCAAGAACUGCCCCUGGGCUGAGGGAAAUCAAGAGUGGGGGGCAUUUUCCAGCUUACUGUGAAUGGUGGAGAAAUGCUGAGAAAGUUACUAACACAAAGGAUCCCAGUUAGACCCCAAGAAGAUACUUUCCGUACAUUGACAAAAGAUUUUGGAGCCUACUAUUGAAAUAGAUGUGAGUGAGUACCUUAGGUAAUAUCACAAUAAAGAACCAUUUAGGAGCUUCUCUGAAAUAUGACAGAUAAAUCUCAGUGACUGAUUCCUCCAUAACUGCCCUGCUGUGAGCACUCACAUUCACUAGUUUGUGUCACCAUCUGGUAUCACCAACAUUGGAGUGCGAGUCUCUUUUCAAGUUCAAGUUUCUGCCUCACUCCUGGUCAUUGGUGACCUGCAGAGCUUUACACAAACAGACCACUCAUUGCUCCAUGUGGGAACUUGGUGGGAUUGUAAUUCUUAGAUUGUGCUCUAAAACUGUAGAUUAUUCAAUGUGACUCUCAAAAUUAAGUGUCUCCGUGUUAUUCUGUUUGUAGGUGGUAUAAUGAUAGUAACUUUGUUCUCAUUAACAAGGUCACUAACAUAAUCAGAAACACAGCAAGAAUUUUGCCUUUCUUCUGAAAUAAUUUUGAUUUCUUUCUCUUUGCUUUCCUGCUAUCAUCUAAGUGAUUGCACAAUAUUCCAAAUGGAGAAUUAAUGGGAGUAUAAUAUCUAGGAUAGUGUUUUAUAAAUGUUCAUUAUACAAAAUAUGAAUUAUACUAGUAAUUUGUUUCCAUAUUAUCUGACUUCUAGAUAGUACAGAGAGAAUUCUUUUUGUCAUUACUGUUUCAUCCAGAAACAGGAAUAUUUUUUCCUCUCCUUUGAAGUAAUUUUGGACUUUCUUGCAGUUGGUCGCACUGCUGUUGCUAAGUAAUUAUACAUUUGCUCAAAUUUUGCUCUAAUUGAAGCUCAAUAGAAGAAUAAUUUCUACAAUAGUGCUUCAUAAAUGGAUCCCCUUUGGAAGUAAAUUUGCACCCAGAGAGCAAAAGUCCUCAGCUUUUAGAACAGCAGGAUUCAGUGAUAAGUUGAUUUUUAUCAAGUCUGCGAAUCAAGAAAAAAGCAGCAUGAAGAUCUUAGAAAAACAAAAUGAUGUUAAAGCAUCUAAAAUAGAAAGACCCGUAUUUGAGAGUGGACAAGACAAGGGACCCAGCAGACGUGCUGCAAUUCUCCAGCUCACUUCCUGCCCUGACUUCUCAAUGAAAUGUAUGAGGAAGAGUGAAGUCAUGCCUGGUAUCCAGGAGCUGGCCUAGCACCCUAGAACAUAAGCAUUUUUACAGACUAUCAACAUCACACAAGUCUACUCUAUGACCAUGAUGGAUCAAGACACAAAAAGAUCACUUUCUGAUCCUGUCUGAACACAGACAAAUUGAACAUUGUCUAUACCACAAAAUACCAACCAUCCUCUCUCCUGACCAAUAUGAGGGACUGCUGCUUCUUUACAAUUACAGCUCUAGCCUUGCUCAAAUUUUCCUCCCUACAGAUAAGAUUUAUUAAAAUACCAAUCAUAGAAUUAUACCUGUUUCAUGACUGUACACAAUCCAGAGAAAAUGUCUGUUUCCAUGAACUCAACCCAAAGUCAGCUAGUAUAAGUGGAAAUCCUAUAAUAAGGCCUUUACACAAGGGCAACUGCCAAACCAUAGAGGGUUUGGGGGAUCAGCAAGGAAUCCAGCAGCAAGACUGGGAACAAUGUUGGUGGUGGCCCUUCAAAAGGGUCAGAACAAAUCCCUUCACCCACUGCAGACUGAUGGGGCUAGCAGGAAAACUGGCUGGGAAGGUGCCCUCCCCGUCUACCUCUCCUUCUGCAGGGGCUGGACCCUGCAGGCUACUUGUCCUCAUUACAGGACUUGUGGUUAGACUCCACUUUCCUUGUCCAUCUAAGGUUUGUUUGUCUAUAGUACCCAUACAGGUAAGUUACGGCAGUAGGUGGAGCUACUCUUACUCAGAAAGUCCAAGCUACUCCUGGAUUAUGUCACUGCUGCCACCAGCCCCAUCCCAUACUACUGAGGGAAGUGAUGUCCAGCUUUGUGACACUCUCCUGUCCUGCCUCAUGAGCCAAAGUCCAACAUAGAAGAGCUCUGGACAGAUGGUGGGUGGCAGAUGAGCAGGGAACCCAGCAGGGCAGCAGUCUCAGAGCCUAGAACAAGCUGUCCUUCAUCAGUCACCUGCAGGACAGUGUGUCCAGGCAAACCUUCCUGGCCUGCUAAGAGCCAUCCUUGGACUCAGGGCUGCUGCUGCUGCCUUGGCUUCCGGGACAUUUGUCUGCCUCUGUGUGGCAGAGGAUAGCAUCAUGAGAACAUGAGCAACGUAGGGAGAUGCUGGUGACUGGAACUGCCUCAAAACCUGUGCAUCCUUGGCUGCCCCUGCUUUCUGAGGCCUUCAAAACAUAGCAUACUGGAUAGUCUUUUAGUCACAUGCACAUGUCCUGAGUCCUAGGCCCCUUCUGCUUCCAUGUCAGGGGUGUCUUUGGUUUACCACUGAGCACUGUAUUGUACUUCCUAGGGCAGAAGUUGACAGCCAGAGGGGAAACCCGAGGGAUGUAGUAGAUAUGCAGGGGUAGCCCCUCCAGGAAGGAGCUUAGCACAGGGAUCACCAGAUUAUUGCACAUGCUGGCACCUGGCAUCCACCCAAGCUGAACUGUGGGUACUGAGGAAGUGGCCAGGGGGCUCUGAAGUCUUCUUUCCACAGGCUCUUGCGGAGUAUAUGGGUGGUGGUCUGGUUGCUGGGUCUCAGGUUCAGGCUGGACAGUCAGUGCCUCUGGCCAUUUUCACUGCUCCUAAGGCCUCCCUCCAGUAAACAAGUCUGUUUGAGUCUGUUGUCAUUGAAUAUAGCCUUGAUGGCCUCCCAUCUGUGGCUUUGUUCAUUCAUAGUGAUUAUCUCUGGAUUGAGGUGAAAUUGGCACCUAAUUUGCAAUAGGAUUAGAAGUCAGAAUUCAAACUUGUUCAGUGAGAACUAUGUACUGUGGCAGCAGUUCUUCGUGCAUUUGGCUCCAGCUCAAGGCUAUAAAGCCACAACUGAGAGGCCAUCUUGAACACGCACACAAUGGCGCUGGAUCUGCAACCGCCCCGGCACAUCCUGCACACACGAGAUGUCCCUGUGGUUCUUGACCAGAGCGCUGCGGAUCUCUGCCCAGCACAGUCUAUCCCAGCCAUCCAUGACCUGUUCACCAGGAACAUGCCCCACAGCACCACCUGUCCCACUUGGUUGGGCCUGAGGAGGGCUGCAACCUCUGCUCAUAGUUUGGGGAGGGUCUUCCUUCUUACGUGGCCCCCUACUCAGGGUUAAGACCCUCCAGGCUAUAGCUCCUGUCACACAAGAGCAGAUGAGGGAGUAAAGUGAGGAUUAGAGAAAUUAAAUGAAAUAGGGUCAUACAACAAAUAUGUGAUCAAGUAAUGACGAACAUCUUCUUGUUUUACUUGUGGAUAUCAAUGCACAUAAGAAUUAUGAGCAUAUAAGAAACAGAAGUGUGAGAUAUCAGAAUGUACAUCAUUAAUUCACCCUGGUGGGGCAGCUGAGUAAAGUAACAGUUGUAGGAACAAUGCCUUGUAUUGGUGGGACAACUGGGAGCCUCUUCUGUAGUACAGAGAGAGUCUCUUAGUGAACAAGAGUGGGAAGAUUACAAAUGAGCGGCAGAUUCUGAAGAUCAUUGGUUGUAGCUCUGGGAAAGUACAAUGCACAACCUCUGCAAUCAUACGUGCAGCCCUGGGAAAGAUAGCCUUAAUUUUUCACAUGCUUUACCCACUGUCAGAAGAAAGUUUGUCUUAACAUCCCCUUUGUCCCAUCUACUACUAGGAUUGGAGUUCUCACCCCUCUCUGGUGAGGCACCAAUUUGUGCUGUCUCAGUUAUUCUCUGAGUCAAAGGGUUGUUUGUCCCUUAUUUUGGCCCUGGGACUGUGGAUUCAUCUCAACUUUUUAAUAAAUAGAUUAGAAUCUGGAUAACUACAUCCAGAAAGGUCUUUGUUUUAUCACUUUGUAUCCUUUCUUCCUAAAGUACAAAUAAACAUCUUCUCCAGGAUGAAGAAAACACUUGGAUAGAUUCCCUCUUUUCUCCCACAUGUAGGCAACAUUCUGAGUCUAUCUCUUAAAUCCAGAGGGACUCUCUCAUUUUCUGCAUGUCACAUGACCACCUGAGCAAACAUCUUCUCGUGAUCUUCAACAUGAUGGAUCUUGUCCUUCUGGUACCUCCUUAGGUUUCCCACCUGACACAAGGAGAAGUCUCUUGGAACUUUUCAUUUAGAAAAUGGAUUUCAUGCCCUUCUAAAUUUCACAAAAAUUUACUGCCGUUGAAAAAAAGGGGAGACUAUAAAACAAAAUUAUAACAAAUGGGUUUCUGGGGGUCUGACUGCACACCCAGUUGUGCGAGCAGUUUGGGAUAGGUUCGGCGAGAUCGAAGAAAAGACCCAGAGACAGCAUACAAGACAUAUGCGUUUAUUGGGACUUAUGCACAGUGGGUGUCUAGGGCAGCUGGCUGGACGGAGUUAAUAGCUACUGCAAGCAGAGAGGGGGUUGCUUAAGCAGGCAGGGGAACAAAGGCUACUUGCUUCCCAAGAGGGACUAUCUUUGCAUGACCAGCCUUCCAAAGACCAGUAGUUCACAUGGAAGGGCUCUAUGUUCCUUCAUGACAUGCUAUUCUUGGAGCCGGUCCAGUGGUGCAGCAGUUAAGUUCACGCGUUCCGCUUCUUGGUGGCCAAGGGUUCACCGUUUCAGAUCCCGGGUGUGGACAGGGCACCGCUCGGCAAAAGCCAUG